GGGGGGGGGGGGGGGUCAUUUUAGAUUUCAAUGUUUGCAAUAAUGUUAUCAACAUCUAUUCAUCUUGGUUUCAGAAAGAGGUUUCAGUAUGAUAGUUAUCAAUUCCAUUCUAGAAUUGCAUAAAGGAACUUCAUUUAUUUAAUUUUUUGAACGGGUUUUACAUGCAUAAAGAAACAACUAGGUCAGGUGGAAGUUGUCAUCGUUUUCCUAGGUUGUCUCAACUUUUAUCGUUUGAGAGGGGUGGACAUUUUUUUUUCAGAAUCACCAACACACUAAUGAGUUUUGUUGUUUAAUAUUAUAGUUACAGAUUCUAUAACCUGGCACCCCUUCUGUAUAAUCUGUCAUGGAAUCUCUCCCAAAGUAAUUGUUGUGUUCGUCAUUUUACGGAAUGAUUUGCGUUCUAAGCAUCUGUGAUAUCUUGAAUAUUAUUUAUAUGAUAUAAUUGUAGGCAUCCAUGUUGUUGUGGCUUUUAUUAUGUAUAUAGGUUGGCCACCACUUCUCUUUGACUGAUGUGUUUAAUUGUGGAAACCCACAUUAAACAUCUGUUGCUCUAUUAAUAGAUUAUAGAAUUCAUCAUUUACCAUUGAUUGCUAUAUUAAGAUUAUGGGGACCACAAUUUACCAUUGGUUGCUAUAUUUAGAUUAUGGGGACCACAAUUUACCAUUAGUUGCUAUGUCAAAAUAAUAUGUAUCACCAUAUUUGGCUGAUUGAUAUAUUGAUAGAUUAUGGAAACCGUGAUUUACCAUUGGUUGCUAUAUUUAGAUUAUAGAGAUCACCUUUUCUCACUGGUUGUUUUGUAACAUACAUUAACAUUAAUUGACUUCCAUUUGACAUGUUUGUACAAACCUAUGUUGGCAGUACAGUUACUGUUGAAGUUUGACCGGUAGAAAGGUUUCAGAUUUGUCUUGACUGUUGUAGGUACCAAGGUUGGUUUGACCAGUGUAGGUACCAAGCUUGGUUUGACCGGUGUAGGUACCAGGCUUGGUUUGACCGGUGUAGGUCCCACGCUUGGUUUGACCGGUGUAGGUACCAAGCUUGGUUUGACCGGUGUAGGUACCAAGUUUGGUUUGACCGGUGUAGGUACCAAACAUGGCUUUACCAGUACAAAUGUUUAAGCAUCAACUAAUGUUUUUAUAUAACAUGUAGCUGCCAAGUAUUUUUCUGUCUGUCAAUAUCUCUCAUUGAUAAGAGUAUAACCCUGUUUACAGCAUCUUAGCUAAGGUUGAACCAUUUCUCAUAAAGGAUUUAAAGUCACAGCAGAGCAGUAUGAUGGUCAAAUACAUCUCAUCAAUGUAGUUUCAACCAUUUUGAUAAUGUUUGACUUUUUAAUCAUUUUUUUUAUUGGAAUAAUAAUAUUGUUCCAUGGGUAUCUGUUGAUUCAAAUUCAUUCAAUGUUAAUUAUAUUAUCUUGGAUUCAAUAUAAACCUAGUUAUCGCUCUAUAAUCUAUAUAAAAAAUGUUUAUUUAUUUGUCAGAUUCAUUUAUUGGUACAUCUGCUACAAGCUUCAAAAUUUUAAGAAAUAUUCUGCAUUUUUUCUUCCUUUUUUCAGACAUUUUCAAAGAUACAAGAAAUUGAUAUAUCACUGCAUGUUACCUCUAAAUUGUGCAUGUAACAUCUAAAAACAUUUUAAAAAACAAUUUUUUUACCAAUCUUUUUCUUUUUGGCUAUUGAAGAUAAUUUCUUGCUUAUAAAUUUAAUUUUCAGAAUUAACUGAUUUUUUUCGUAAACAGAUAUAUCUACUUUAGUAUCUUAUAUUUAAGUUUGGUUUUAAUUUUUAUUGAAUUUUGAACAAAUUUGUAAGUGCUUUAUUUUAUCCAAGCUAAGGCUUCAGUUGAUUUUGGUGACAUUUACUUGCUAGGCUUUGUUUCCAGCAACAACUGAAGUUAUAGAUAAUAUUAUUUAGGUCCGUAUUUUUGUAGUCCUUGUUAAUUUCUUUUACUUAUUCAAAAAUGAUUAUCCAUGCUGUGCAGUCCUUUUUAAACAUUUGCUAGUAUGCCUGUUUUCUGUGAGAAGCCAUUUCCGUCCACUUUGGACACCGUAAGUACAUUAUAUACCGGUUUAGAGGUUAUCCGCAUGUAAACGAAUAAAUUACCUAACAUUGGA